rnacentral:lncRNA from 1 species
AGUGGGGUGGGGCACCUGAUGCUGGGUUUAACGAUCUAUUCCCAUUCCUGAGUGUUUAGCUCUGUUCUGUGUAACAGUCCGUUCUUAUUUUACCAUUUAGUUCCCAGUGGCUCCUCAAGGUGUAAGGUAACACGGUAAGGCUUGGUCAGCAGGUCUAGGUGUGGCAGCCUGUUUCCCAACUGCAGAUCAGCUUAGGGGAAGCAGAAAUUUCUCUGCACUGAGUCAGGACCAAAAGCAGAACAUCACAGCUACCAAGUGCAGCCGAUCAGACGUGCCUAGGAAAGCGAUGAUGCCCAUCGAUUGGUGUGAACUUUCUAGAAACGUCUAGGAAACAGGAUGUUUGCGCUUGGGAUUUACCCACCAUAUUGUGAGGAAGCCUAUACUACAUGGAGAGGCCAUGUGAUGUUCCAGCCAACAGUACCGUGUCAGAUGCCAGCUGCCAGCCAGCAUCAACUCCAGACAGAUGGAACCAUGUAGUUGCAGGAAAACAAGUGCAAGGCUUCUACUGAUUCUACAUUAUGGAUACCCUGUUGGAACUUUCUACUCCAUAACAAGAAGCAGCGGACAUUCCAAUGAGUUUUAUGCAUAAGUGUCUGUACUCCUCCCUGACCAUGUGCUUCAGGAGACGCCAAUCCCAGCCCCAUUCCUAGACCACAGUGGCGAAUCAGUUUGAUCUAAGCCAAUCAUGUUGAUGCUAUUCUAGUUAGCUGUGAUUGGCUGAGGAAGAUGUGGGUUGAUGAAGAUAAUCCCCCCACUCUCCACAGCCACUGAGAAGAUUAGGUCCUUCUUUGGAUUUGAAUGUAUUUUUCUAUUAAUAUCUAUAAAUGUUUUCAAUCUCCAUAACACUAUUAUACUUUUGUUAGCUCAUGUCAAACUUGUAUAAAACUAAUACCCCUGGAUCAAUUUUACAUGAAGGGUUAUUAAACCAGGUUAACUGUCUUCUGUAGCACUGUCUGUGAUUUUCUGAACAAAAUUCAGGGUUGAUAAUCUUUCUCCAACUUCAAAAUAUAGUACAAGAAGUGAAAUUUAUUUCUGUACACCUGUUUGGUAACUGUUGGAAUUUCAGUUCCAGAAAAACAGAAUUGUGUGGAUUGUGAGUCACUUCUGCUGGGGAUAAUUAGAAAGAGAGGAAAUUGGGAGUUGGGAGUGAAAAGGGGAGAUCAAGCAGAUGGCAGAGGAAGGAUGGAGAUUUUCACAGUGAAUCCUUGGGGAGACAAAGGAAGAUAAAGCACAGUAAACUCAUAAGGGUAUUCAGGUGACAUCUGUGAGGAGGAGUCGAGGAGCCGGGAGUCGAGAUAUGAGAGAGAGGAUUUGAUAGACAUGUGAUCUGGGGAGGGGACAGAAGCAUCUUCUGAGUCAUGCAAUCAAGAAGGCAUUGAUCAUUUG